rnacentral:tRNA from 1 species
GGUCCUGUGGUGUAGUGGUUAUCACGUCUGCUUUACACGCAGAAGGCCGCCGGUUCGAUCCCGGCCAGGA